rnacentral:rRNA from 1 species
UGGGGAAUCUUGGGCAAUGGGCGAAAGCCUGACCCAGCGACGCCGCGUGGGGGACGAAGGCCUUCGGGUCGUAAACCCCUGUUCUGGGGGAAGAACCAGGUCGUAGCGAAUAGCUAUGGCCUGCUGACGGUACCCCAGGAGAAAGCCACGGCUAACUGCGUGCCAGCAGCCGCGGUAAUACGCAGGUGGCAAGCGUUGCCCGGAAUCACUGGGCGUAAAGGGUGCGUAGGCGGCAAGGCAAGUCGCAGGUCAAAGCCCGGGGCUCAACCCCGGAAGGGCCUGCGAUACUGUUUUGCUUGAGGGCCGGAGAGGCUGGCGGAAUUCCCGGUGUAGGGGUGAAAUCCGUAGAUAUCGGGAGGAACACCGGUGGGGAAGCCUGCCAGCUGGACGGUUCCUGACGCUGAGGCACGAAAGCGUGGGGAGCAAACCGGAUUAGAUACCCGGGUAGUCCACGCCGUAAACGAUGGGUGCUAGGUCUGGGGAGGAAACUCUCUGGGCCGCAGCUAACGCGUUAAGCACCCCGCCUGGGGAGUACCGCCGCAAGGCUG